rnacentral:rRNA from 1 species
CAGCACGCCGCGUGAGUGAUGAAGGCCUUCGGGUUGUAAAGCUCUGUCUUUGGGGACGAUAAUGACGGUACCCAAGGAGGAAGCCACGGCUAACUACGUGCCAGCAGCCGCGGUAAUACGUAGGUGGCAAGCGUUGUCCGGAUUUACUGGGCGUAAAGGAUGCGUAGGUGGAUAUUUAAGUCAGAUGUGAAAUACCCGAGCUUAACUUGGGUGCUGCAUUUGAAACUGGAUAUCUAGAGUGCAGGAGAGGUAAGUGGAAUUCCUAGUGUAGCGGUGAAAUGCGUAGAGAUUAGGAAGAACACCAGUGGCGAAGGCGACUUACUGGACUGUAACUGACACUGAGGCAUGAAAGCGUGGGGAGCAAACAGGAUUAGAUACCCUGGUAGUCCACGCCGUAAACGAUGAGUACUAGGUGUAGGAGGUAUCGACUCCUUCUGUGCCGCAGUUAACACAAUAAGUACUCCGCCUGGGAAGUACGGUCGCAAGAUUAAAACUCAAG